CAGUCGCCGCGGUAAUACAGAGGGUGCGAGCGUUAAUCGGAUUUACUGGGCGUAAAGCGUGCGUAGGCGGCUUCUUAAGUCGGAUGUGAAAUCCCCGGGCUUAACCUGGGAACUGCAUUUGAAAUUGUCAGGCUGGAGUCUUGUAGAGGGGGGUAGAAUUCCAGGUGUAGCGGUGAAAUGCGUAGAGAUCUGGAGGAAUACCGGUGGCGAAGGCGGCCCCCUGGACAAAGACUGACGCUCAGGUGCGAAAGCGUGGGGAGCAAACAGGAUUAGAUACCUUAGUAGUCCCUGUCUCUUAUAC
rnacentral:rRNA from 1 species